rnacentral:rRNA from 1 species
CAGUAGCCGCGGUAAUACGGAGGGUGCAAGCGUUAUCCGGAUUGACUGGGUUUAAAGGGUGCGUAGGCGGAUCUGUAAGUCAGUGGUGAAAUCUCCAGGCUUAACCUGGAAACUGCCGUUGAUACUAUAGGUCUUGAAUUUUGUGGAGGUUAGCGGAAUAUGUCAUGUAGCGGUGAAAUGCAUAGACAUGACAUAGAACACCAAUUGCGAAGGCAGCUGGCUACACAACUAUUGACGCUGAGGCACGAAAGCGUGGGGAGCAAACAGGAUUAGAUACCCCCGUAGUCCCUGUCUCUUAUAC